rnacentral:tRNA from 1 species
AGGGGCGUAGUUAAGUGGCAUAAUAGGGGUCUCCAAAACCCUUGUCGGAGGUUCGACUCCUCCCGCCCCUGCAA